rnacentral:rRNA from 1 species
AUUGAACGCUGGCGGCAGGCUUAACACAUGCAAGUCGAGCGGGGUGAUGGUGCUCGCACUAUCACUUAGCGGCGGACGGGUGAGUAAUGCUUAGGAAUCUGCCUAUUAGUGGGGGACAACAUCUCGAAAGGGAUGCUAAUACCGCAUACGUCCUACGGGAGAAAGCAGGGGAUCACUUGUGACCUUGCGCUAAUAGAUGAGCCUAAGUCGGAUUAGCUAGUUGGUGGGGUAAAGGCCUACCAAGGCGACGAUCUGUAGCGGGUCUGAGAGGAUGAUCCGCCACACUGGGACUGAGUCACGGCCCAGACUCCUACGGGAGGCAGCAGUGGGGAAUAUUGGACAAUGGGGGGAACCCUGAUCCAGCCAUGCCGCGUGUGUGAAGAAGGCCUUAUGGUUGUAAAGCACUUUAAGCGAGGAGGAGGCUCUUUUGGUUAAUACCCAAGAUGAGUGGACGUUACUCGCAGAAUAAGCACCGGCUAACUCUGUGCCAGCCGCCGCCGUGA